UUGCCUUAUCGUUCCAAUACUUUUGGAGGGGACUGUAUCAUCUAGUGAGUGCAAACUAUGAGAUUAUCGAUUACUCUCUAUUUGCUUGGAUCCUCCUAGGUUCAGGAGUGCUGGAACCAUUAACUGGCUUUCCAAACCAUAUAGAGUAAACCGUUAAACUUCAAUUAAUACCCCAGGCUUUUAUUUUGCUUCGAUCUCUGAACUCACACUGCCUAUUUUUGGGACAGGUGUCUAUAUGGGAAGUAGGCUAAAAUCAAAUUGUUUCUUUCAACCAGUAUGAAUAUCACUUGUAUAAAAACUUGAUCUAGCACCAAGAGACAGCCCAUCAAGACCAACCUCAAGCACAGAGAGGGACCGAUCGACCAUACCGGUAAAUUUGAAUAAAUAAUACUUUUGGUGCUCAUUGUUUUUGUAAAAUGAACGGCAGAAUUUCUAAAAUUCUAACGAUAUAUAGCAUGUCCAUAUUGACAAAAGUUGAAACAUUUAUAGUGGUAUGCAAGAUCUUGGCAGCUUGGGUCAAGCAGGUGCCCCAGUGGGCUUUCAGAGGUUUUAUACAUCCAAAGAACGUCAAUGUAAACCAGACCAGGCUUCUAAUUGAGCAGUGUUUAUUUGUGAAAAUGUGCCGCAAAAGGGACAGGCAUCUAAGUGAAGUUUUACGUUAUGUGAUAAGUCCAGUAGAACUACAAAAUGUAAAGUGUUCUAUAUUUUAUCGAUAAUAAAGGCGUUCUAACAUAAGCCGCUUUGGAUGAAAGCGUCAGCUAAAUGAGUAAUUGUAGAUGUAAUAAAGAGGGGUGCAUUUAUUUUAUGUCCCUUAUUAACUAGGUUUUGGACAGAUAUGCAGGAAUUUAUGUUCAAUAAAACCAUGUAUUUAGGAUUUAAUUGGGGGUAAAGACAUUUUGGCUAAAUUUGAAAGUGACAAAUAUUUUUAGUUCUAGCGUAAAUUCUUCACAUUGAUUGUUGUCCAAUCUGUUUAUUGGUUUUAAUGCGGGGAAAAAACAGCAACAAGAUGAAGGUGUUACAUCAAAUGUAGCUGCCAAUAUAAUCAGAGACCAAACAAGGCACACAAUAAACGGAGGAAUAAAGGAUGCAACAUUAUACAUGAGGGUCUAGUAACUUUACUGUAUUAAUGAGAAGUUGUUAACAAUCAUAAUAUAUUUUAUGUUUUGUUUAAUAAAUAUUAUUGUUAAAUAUCGGUUUAUAUUUUAUAUUAUAUUAUUGUAUUUUGUUACAUCUAUAUUAUUAGUUUAGAAUAAUAUUUGUAUACACCUUUAGCUUUACCUUUAGUUUUAUAGUUAAAAUAACAUUUUCAAUAAUAUGCACUACACAUGCAUAAAAGUGAAAAUGCUCCUUAUAAUUAAAGUUAUUUUUUAAACCUUGUGUUUUAUAAUUUUGGCUCUUCCACGCCAGACCCGGAAGCUGCUUGACGGGGCACAGCGAACACGUGGUUUUGAUAAAGACAUAAAUUGAGCCUCAGCUUCAUUAACAGCCUCUCUUCCUUGUUGCGGUGGUGCUGGUCGGUCAUGUUUAGGUGGAGAGACGAAGACCCAUGUGCAUGAAGCUCCAUUUACGGAUGUUCAGUGCCUGGACUGGAUUUAUCUUGAUGAGGUAACUGGAAAAGAGUCCACUGCUGGAUCACCCCAGUUUGUUUGUUUUUGUUCUUUGUUGAAGCCUAAAAGGACAAAGCUGAAUGUUGUAGGGCAAGUUUAAAACCCAUAAGUAUGACUUGCUUCUGGGAAUGUCUUAUCUAUGCACAUGAAUAGGAUCCAAAUCCCUACUUAAACUAGUCUUGACACUGUGUGAACUGUUUCACUGGUAAAUAAAGUGUUAUCAAGUGUUGGACUGUG